AUCACUUCUCAGCCUUCUGGCUAAGAUCAAGUAUAGUAUCUGUUCUUAUCAGCUUAAUAUCUGACACACCCUCUACUUGAGGACAAUAUAUGAAAUGGAUCUUUGGAGCAGAGAGUUGGAAGAGGAGCUUGCACCGCCCGCUCCACGCACUGGCCUGGUAUUGCAGUACUUCCAGGAACGGUGUACGCCCU
ensembl:snRNA U2 U2 spliceosomal RNA